AUGGCCUGGACUCCUGUCUUCCUGGGGAUGCUCUUUUACUGCACAGGUUCCCUGUCCCAGCCCAUGCUGACCCGGCCACCCUCCCUCUCUGCAUCUCCGGCAACAAUGGCCAGACUCACCUGCACCUGAGCAGGGACAUCAUGUUGGCAGCUUGAACAUCUACUGGAUCCAGCAGCAGCCAGGGAGCCCUCCCCGGGGUCUGCUUUCCUACUCCUCACUCUGAUAAGCCCCAGGGCUCUGGGGUCCCCAGCAGCUUCUCGGGCUCCAAAGACACCUCGGCCAAUGCAGGGCUUCUGUGCAUCUCGGGGCGGGAGGGUGAGGCCGAGGCUGACUAUCACUGGGCUACAGCUCACGGCAGUGGGAGCAGCUACCGAUCCUCACUGGGUCUCAGACAACGAGGAAGUGGGUCUAAAACCUCUGGACCCACGGAUCUUGUUUCUGAGCCGCUUUUCAGUAAGAAACUUACCUGGAGAGACAUAGUGGGGUGGUCUCUUCUGCACGACGAUCUAUCCUUCAACAGGGAAAGAGGAAGACUCAUGUAA